rnacentral:rRNA from 1 species
AUACGUAGGGUGCAAGCGUUAAUCGGAAUUACUGGGCGUAAAGCGUGCGCAGGCGGUUUUGUAAGACAGAGGUGAAAUCCCCGGGCUCAACCUGGGAAAUGCCUUUGUGACUGCAAGGCUAAAGUACGGCAGAGGGGGGUGGAAUUCCCCGGGUAGCAGGGAAAUGCGUAGAUAUGCGGAGGAACACCGAUGGCGAAGGCAAUCCCCUGGGCCUGUACUGACGCUCAUGCACGAAAGCGUGGGGAGCAAACAGGAUUAGAUACCCUGGUAGUCCACGCCCUGAACGAUGUCAACUGGUUGUUGGGUCUUCAUUGACUCAGUAACGAAGCUAACGCGUGAAGUUGACCGCCUGGGGAGUACGGCCGCAAGGUUGAAACUCAAAUGAAUUGACGGGG